rnacentral:tRNA from 1 species
GCUUCCUUAGCUCAGUCGGUAGAGCAUGCGGCUGUUAACCGCAGUGUCGCAAGUUCGAGUCUUGCAGGAAGCGCCA